rnacentral:tRNA from 1 species
AUUUUCUUAGUAUAACAAGUACUAAUGACUUCCAAUCACUAAGCCCUAGUUAAACCCUAGGAGAAAAUA